GGAGUUGGCCAGGCAGUCGCUGCGUACGCUCCGGCGUGCGCAGAGGAAAGUCCGGGCUCCACAGAGCAGGGUGCCGGCUAACGGCCGGGCGCCGUGAGGCGACGGAAAGUGCAACAGAAAACACACCGCCGCCGCGGAUCGGAUUGCGUGGCCGCCGCGCGAGCGGCGGUCGCGGUCUCCCAGGCGGGUGGGCGCCGCGAGGCGCGUGCCCGAGGUCCGGGGCGGCAAGGGUGAAAUGGUGCCCCGCCCGCGUGGGCGGGGGGCGGCGCGAUUGGGCGCGCCGUCGGUAAGAGCGCACCGCGGUCCUGGAGACAGGGCUGGCUGGCAAACCCCACCCGGAGCAAGACCGAAUAGGCAGGUGCCCGAGGGCUGCUCGCCCGAUGCCUGCGGGUUGGUCGCUCGAGCCCCGAGGAAACUCAGGGCCCAGAGGAAUGGCUGCCGGGGCGCCGCGAGGCGCCGGACAGAACCCGGCUUAUCGGCCGACUCCAACU
rnacentral:RNase_P_RNA from 1 species